UACGUAGGGGGCAAGCGUUGUCCGGAUUUAUUGGGCGUAAAGAGCGUGUAGGCGGCCAUACAGGUCAGCUGUGAAAACUCGAGGCUCAACCUCGAGACGUCGGUUGAAACCGUAUGGCUAGAGUCCGGAAGAGGAGAGUGGAAUUCCCGGUGUAGCGGUGAAAUGCGCAGAUAUCGGGAAGAACACCGGUGGCGAAGGCGGCUCUCUGGGACGGUACUGACGCUGAGACGCGAAAGCGUGGGGAGCGAACAGG
rnacentral:rRNA from 1 species